rnacentral:rRNA from 1 species
AUACGGAGGGUGCAAGCGUUGUUCGGAAUCACUGGGCGUAAAGGGCGCGCAGGCGGUUUGGUAAGUCAGAUGUGAAAGCCCACGGCUCAACCGUGGAAGUGCAUUUGAAACUGUCUGACUUGAGUACUAGAGGGGAAAGUGGAAUUCCCGGUGUAGAGGUGAAAUUCGUAGAUAUCGGGAGGAAUACCGGUGGCGAAGGCGACUUUCUGGGCAGAUACUGACGCUGAGGCGCGAAAGCGUGGGAGCAAACAGGAUUAGAAACCCCAGUAGUCC